rnacentral:rRNA from 1 species
GAAUUUUGGACAAUGGGCGCAAGCCUGAUCCAGCCAUGCCGCGUGAGUGAAGAAGGCCUUCGGGUUGUAAAGCUCUUUCGGCCGGGAAGAAAUCGUGGUCUCUAACAUAGGCCAUGGAUGACGGUACCGGACUAAGAAGCACCGGCUAACUACGUGCCAGCAGCCGCGGUAAUACGUAGGGUGCGAGCGUUAAUCGGAAUUACUGGGCGUAAAGCGUGCGCAGGCGGUUUGCUAAGACAGGUGUGAAAUCCCCGGGCUUAACCUGGGAACUGCGCUUGUGACUGGCAGGCUAGAGUACGGCAGAGGGGGGUGGAAUUCCUGGUGUAGCAGUGAAAUGCGUAGAUAUCAGGAGGAACACCGAUGGCGAAGGCAGCCCCCUGGGCCUGUACUGACGCUCAUGCACGAAAGCGUGGGGAGCAAACAG